rnacentral:tRNA from 1 species
GCGGCGCUGGUCUAGCCUGGUAUGACACCAGCCCCCCAAGCUGGGAAUCCCGGGUUCAAAUCCCGGGCGCCGCA